GCCCGGAUAGCUCAGUCGGUAGAGCAUUG
rnacentral:piRNA from 9 species